AUUGAAGCUGUCUUCUGGGGUUUAGAAACAAAGGGAGUUCGUUCAAUCCAUUCUCCUAUUGAAUCAGCUAUGUCCAGCACUGCCGGUCUUGUUAUUCCUUGCAAAGCUGCAGUGGCAUGGGAGGCAGGGAAGCCAUUGGUGAUUGAGCAAGUGGAGGUAGCCCCUCCGCAGGCCUUGGAAGUGAGGAUCAAAAUCAAAUAUACCUCGCU
rnacentral:misc_RNA from 1 species